UACAGGGGGUGCAAGCGUUGUUCGGAAUUACUGGGCGUAAAGGGCUCGUAGGCGGCCCUCUCAGUCGGAUGUGAAAUCCCCAGGCUCAACUUGGGAACGGCAUCCGAUACUGGAGGGCUUGAAUUCGGGAGAGGGAUGCAGAAUUCCAGGUGUAGCGGUGAAAUGCGUAGAUAUCUGGAGGAAUACCGGUGGCGAAGGCGGCAUCCUGGACCGAGAUUGACGCUGAUGAGCGAAAGCUAGGGGAGCAAACGGG
rnacentral:rRNA from 1 species